rnacentral:rRNA from 1 species
GCAGCAGUGGGGAAUAUUGCAUAAUGGGCGGAAGCCUGAUGCAGCGACGCCGCGUGAGGGAUGAAGGCCUUCGGGUUGUAAACCUCUUUCAGCAGGGACGAAGCGUGAGUGACGGUACCUGCAGAAGAAGCACCGGCUAACUACGUGCCAGCAGCCGCGGUAAUACGUAGGGUGCGAGCGUUGUCCGGAAUUACUGGGCGUAAAGAGUUCGUAGGCGGUUUGUCGCGUCGUUUGUGAAAACCCGGGGCUCAACUUCGGGCUUGCAGGCGAUACGGGCAGACUUGAGUGUUUCAGGGGAGACUGGAAUUCCUGGUGUAGCGGUGAAAUGCGCAGAUAUCAGGAGGAACACCGGUGGCGAAGGCGGGUCUCUGGGAAACAACUGACGCUGAGGAACGAAAGCGUGGGUAGCAAACAGGAUUAGAUACCCUGGUAGUCCACGCCGUAAACGGUGGGCGCUAGGUGUGGGUUCCUUCCACGGGAUCUGUGCCGUAGCUAACGCAUUAAGCGCCCCGCCUGGGGAGUACGGCCGCAAGGCUAAAACUCAAAGGAAUUGACGGGGGCCCGCACAAGCGGCGGAGCAUGUGGAUUAAUUCGAUGCAACGCGAAGAACCUUACCUGGGUUUGACAUACACCAGAUCGCCGUAGAGA